rnacentral:misc_RNA from 1 species
GAUGAAGAACGCAGCGAAAUGCGAUAAGUAGUGUGAAUUGCAGAAUUCCGUGAAUCAUCGAAUCUUUGAACGCACAUUGCGCCUUCUGGUAUUCCGGAAGGCAUGCCUGUUCGAGAGUCAUUAACAACCGUUUCGAUCCCUUUCUUUCAGAAAUUACAAAGAGGAAUAGGGUUUGGUUAUGGUGGAGGAGGGAAAGGGAGCGUUUAGCCUGUAAAAAAAGAGGCUGUGUUCCGCCUCCCCCCCAAAAUUGUACAGGCGGUCGUGUGCGCCCACGCAUCGAGGUGUUGUAAAAGCUGCCACGGCACUUUUCACCUGUGCAGUGCGAGAUUGGCCAGCCGGUUUAAAAACCCCUCCAAACAAUCAAAGGUUGACCUCGGAUCUGGUAGGGAUACCCGCUGAACUUAAGCAUAUCAAUAAGCGGAGGA